CAGUAGCCGCGGGAAUACGGAGGGGGCUAGCGUUGUUCGGAAUUACUGGGCGUAAAGCGUACGUAGGCGGCUUGGUAAGUUAGAGGUGAAAGCCUGGAGCUCAACUCCAGAAUUGCCUUUAAGACUGCCGAGCUAGCAGGUGAGAGAGGUAGUGGAAUUCCGAGUGUAGAGGUGAAAUUCGUAGAUAUUCGGAAGAACACCAGUGGCGAAGGCGGCUUACUGGCUCAUACUGGACGCUGAGGUGCGAAAGCGUGGGGAGCAAACAGGAUUAGAUACCCCCGUAGUCCCUGUCUCUUAUACA
rnacentral:rRNA from 1 species